rnacentral:rRNA from 1 species
UACGGAGGGUGCAAGCGUUGCUCGGAAUUAUUGGGCGUAAAGGGCAGGUAGGUGGUCUCAUUUGUCUGGGGUGAAAGCCUUGAGCUUAACUCAAGAAGUGCCCCAGAAACGGUGAGACUAGAGUCCUGGAGAGGGUCGUGGAAUUCCCGGUGUAGCGGUGAAAUGCGUAGAGAUCGGGAAGAACAUCAGUGGCGAAGGCGGCCUGCUGGGCUGUUGCUGACGCUGAGGCGCGACAGCGUGGGGAGCAAACAGG